UGGGGAAUCUUGGACAAUGGGGGCAACCCUGAUCCAGCCAUGCCGCGUGAGUGAUGAAGGCCUUAGGGUCGUAAAGCUCUUCGCCUGUGAAGAUAAUGACGGUAGCAGGUAAAGAAACCCCGGCUAACUCCGUGCCAGCAGCCGCGGUAAUACGGAGGGGGUUAGCGUUGUUCGGAAUUACUGGGCGUAAAGCGCACGUAGGCGGAUCGGAAAGUUGGGGGUGAAAUCCCGGGGGCUCAACCCCCGGAACUGCCUCCAAAACUAUCGGUCUAGAGUUCGAGAGAGGUGAGUGGAAUUCCAAGUGUAGAGGUGAAAUUCGUAGAUAUUUGGAGGAACACCAGUGGCGAAGGCGGCUCACUGGCUCGAUACUGACGCUGAGGUGCGAAAGUGUGGGGAGCAAACAGGAUUAGAUACCCUGGUAGUCCACACCGUAAACGAUGAAUGCCAGUCGUCGGGUAGCAUGCUAUUCGGUGACACACCUAACGGAUUAAGCAUUCCGCCUGGGGAGUACGGUCGCAAGAUUAAAACUCAAAGGAAUUG
rnacentral:rRNA from 1 species